rnacentral:rRNA from 1 species
GAUGAACGCUGGCGGCGUGCCUAAUACAUGCAAGUCGAGCGAAUGGAUUAAGAGCUUGCUCUUAUGAAGUUAGCGGCGGACGGGUGAGUAACACGUGGGUAACCUGCCCAUAAGACUGGGAUAACUCCGGGAAACCGGGGCUAAUACCGGAUAACAUUUUGAACCGCAUGGUUCGAAAUUGAAAGGCGGCUUCGGCUGUCACUUAUGGAUGGACCCGCGUCGCAUUAGCUAGUUGGUGAGGUAACGGCUCACCAAGGCAACGAUGCGUAGCCGACCUGAGAGGGUGAUCGGCCGCACUGGGACUGAGACACGGCCCAGACUCCUACGGGAGGCAGCAGUAGGGAAUCUUCCGCAAUGGACGAAAGUCUGACGGAGCAACGCCGCGUGAGUGAUGAAGGCUUUCGGGUCGUAAAACUCUGUUGUUAGGGAAGAACAAGUGCUAGUUGAAUAAGCUGGCACCUUGACGGUACCUAACCAGAAAGCCACGGCUAACUACGUG